GUGUUUUAAGAAUGAACAAAUCCCUAAUAUUAAUGUUAUCCAUUGUAACCAUUUUUUCAGCUUGCUUUGUUUCGGUUUCUUUUUUAUCAUUGGAGGAUGGAAAAUGU